GAUGAAGAACGCAGCGAAAUGCGAUAAGUAAUGUGAAUUGCAGAAUUCAGUGAAUCAUCGAAUCUUUGAACGCACAUUGCGCCCCCUGGUAUUUCGGGGGGCAUGCCUGUCCGAGCGUCAUUACAACCCUCAAGCUCAGCUUGGUGUUGGGCCCCGCCGCCCCGGCGGGCCCUAAAGUCAGUGGCGGUGCCGUCCGGCUCCGAGCGUAGUAAUUCUUCUCGCUCUGGAGGUCCGGUCGUGUGCUCGCCAGCAACCCCCAAAUUUUUUCAGGUUGACCUCGGAUCAGGUAGGGAUACCCGCUGAACUUAAGCAUAUCAAUAAGCGGAGGA
rnacentral:misc_RNA from 1 species